rnacentral:pre_miRNA from 1 species
AAGCAGCACGUGAGAAUUGGAGGAAAUUAAUCCCAUUAGCAUUAGCAUUGUCAACACAGUAGUGGGUUUAAUUUCCUCCAAUAUCUCAUCUGCUGUUU